rnacentral:rRNA from 1 species
UACGUAGGGUGCAAGCGUUGUCCGGAAUUAUUGGGCGUAAAGGGCUCGUAGGCGGUCCAUCGCGUCGGGAGUGAAAAGCUGGGGCUUAACCCCAGUCCUGCUUCCGAUACGGGUGGACUAGAGGUAGGCAGGGGAGAACGGAAUUCCUGGUGUAGCGGUGAAAUGCGCAGAUAUCAGGAGGAACACCGAGGGCGAAGGCAGCUCGCUGGGACGGUACUGACGCUGAGGAGCGAAAGCAUGGGGAGCGAACAGG